GGCGAGACCAUAUGUGUCACAUGUGCUUCGGAGUGGGACAGGAGUGAAGUCCUAGAAACUCUCAGUAACCAAGCUGUCAAACACAGUCACCUAUCCAAGGAAUCUCCGUAACCAGCGUUG